rnacentral:tRNA from 1 species
AAAGAUUUAGUUUAGUUUAAAACAUUAAUUUGUCAAGUUAAAGAUAUUAAGUUAUAAAGUAGUCUUUA